AGAGUUUGAUCCUGGCUCAGAUUGAACGCUGGCGGCAGGCCUAACACAUGCAAGUCGAACGGUAACAGGAAGAAGCUUGCUUCUUUGCUGACGAGUGGCGGACGGGUGAGUAAUGUCUGGGAAACUGCCUGAUGGAGGGGGAUAACUACUGGAAACGGUAGCUAAUACCGCAUAACGUCGCAAGACCAAAGAGGGGGACCUUCGGGCCUCUUGCCAUCGGAUGUGCCCAGAUGGGAUUAGCUAGUAGGUGGGGUAACGGCUCACCUAGGCGACGAUCCCUAGCUGGUCUGAGAGGAUGACCAGCCACACUGGAACUGAGACACGGUCCAGACUCCUACGGGAGGCAGCAGUGGGGAAUAUUGCACAAUGGGCGCAAGCCUGAUGCAGCCAUGCCGCGUGUAUGAAGAAGGCCUUCGGGUUGUAAAGUACUUUCAGCGGGGAGGAAGGGAGUAAAGUUAAUACCUUUGCUCAUUGACGUUACCCGCAGAAGAAGCACCGGCUAACUCCGUGCCAGCAGCCGCGGUAAUACGGAGGGUGCAAGCGUUAAUCGGAAUUACUGGGCGUAAAGCGCACGCAGGCGGUUUGUUAAGUCAGAUGUGAAAUCCCCGGGCUCAACCUGGGAACUGCAUCUGAUACUGGCAAGCUUGAGUCUCGUAGAGGGGGUAGAAUUCCAGGUGUAGCGGUGAAAUGCGUAGA
rnacentral:rRNA from 1 species